rnacentral:rRNA from 1 species
AGCAGCCGCGGUAAUUCCAGCUCCAAUAGCGUAUAUUAAAGUUGUUGCAGUUAAAAAGCUCGUAGUUGAAUUUCGGGAUCAAUACGUCGGUCGUGCUUUCGGGUACGUACUGGCGUCAUUGGUUUCUCCCUUCUGACGAACCAUGAUGUCAUUAAUUUGGUGUUAUGGGGAGUUAGGACUGUUAACUUUGAAAAAAUUAGAGUGUUUAAAGCAGGCUUAGGCUUGAAUACAUUAGCAUGGAAUAAUGAAAUAGGACGUUUGAUCCUAUUUUGUUGGUUUCUAGGAUUGACGUAAUGAUUAAUAGGGAUAGUUGGGGGCAUUAGUAUUCAAUUGUCAGAGGUGAAAUUCUUGGAUUUAUUGAAGACUAACUACUGCGAAAGCAUUUGCCAAGGAUGUUUUCUAUUAAUCAAGAACGAAAGUUAGGGGAUCGAAGACGAUCAGAUACCGUCGUAGUCUUAACCAUAAACUAUGCCGACUAGGGAUCGGAUGAUGUUAAUUUUUAAUGACUCAUUCGGCGCCU